UAGAAAGGAACUCAGUCUAAAAGCAUCACUCGUACAUAAUGACUGGGUGGCCGACAUCUUGUUGG
rnacentral:sRNA from 1 species